rnacentral:tRNA from 1 species
UCCGUGAUAGUUUAAUGGUCAGAAUGGGCGCUUGUCGCGUGCCAGAUCGGGGUUCAAUUCCAAUUCCCCGUCGCGGAG